rnacentral:lncRNA from 1 species
CAAAGCUGAUGCAGGUUAUUGAAUGUUGCCUCAUGUUUAAAAAUGGGUUCACUGGCUUUGUGUCCAGCAGGGACUUCUCUGUUCAUCUCCUCUGACCUCCUGUGUAUAACACAAGCAUGGGAUAAGUGCUGUUAUAUGAGGGUUAAUGUACACAGUGCCUUCAUUUAUUAGCUUUCUACCCUAUUUAUUAGUUCACUUGUGAAGGCAGGUGAUCGAGAGUCAGCAUUCCUUGUCCCAUUCUUGGCCAAAAUGGGCUGUAAAAUGGUUACAAUAAUAUUUCUCUAUCUGUGAUGCUUAACUGAUUCCUGCACUGAAAAGGCAACAAGCUUGUGGCGACUUAACAGUCACUGAAAAGGAUAAUCCUGUUACAGCAAAAAUAAUAAUCUAAAUACCAUUACCAGUCCCCUCCCCAAAUCCAGGCUUAAACAAAGAUUAAAAAAAAUACUUGAAAUUCUGAAAUCUUGGCUGCAUUAAACCUUUAAAACGCUGGAUUAGGCAUUUUCCAUUUCCAAGCUUGGCUCUGACACCACAUCCUUGUGUUCCCUUGGUGUGAUUCAUCUGCAGAUACCAGAACUGCAUAAUUCAUCACAGAUCUUUAUUCCAGAUAUAAUUACACUAAAUCCUGUGGCCUGAGCAGUGUGAAGCCUUCUCUAAGUCUCCUUGUCACCGAGCUCAACAGCCUGGGUUCUUGGGAUGGAAUUCACUCUGAGUGGAUUGGCUCUUCGCUUUCUAAUGCUGGAGGCAUCUCUGGGUUUGUCUUGGAGUUUCUUCAAAGCUCCAGGCACACCAUUGCUCAGGAGUGCCUGUUCUGGCACUGGGCACCAUGCCAGCAGUGGGAAUUCUGGAGAAGACCAGCACAAUUAAAGAUGAGCUCAGUGCCCCCCUUUGGCACAGCAGUUUUAAGAGUGGUGCUACCCAAGGAGAGGACCAGCAGAGCAGACAGCUGGAGCUCUCCCACACAACUUCCCUGGCGCAGCCCGUGCAAGGAGGAUCUCCCUGCUCUGCUGCUGCUCCUGUCACACAGCUGGGCUUCAAAAGAGGAUGCUCCUCUCCCACGUGCUUCAAAGGGAAACCAGGAGCCACAGAACAAUUUACUCCCACUCACAGGGCGAGGGGAAAUCCUCUUCUAACAGGGGAUCAUCCUGUUACAGCGAGGAUGCCUGGUGAUUUAUGGCAUGCAGCUUUAAACCCUCUUUCCCCUCCAAAGAAACACAGGAGACAGCAGAGCUGGAGGGAGAUAGGAGAGAGCUGACAUUGGCAAUGCUUGAAAUAUGGUGUGAGAGCUGGGAAAACCCUUCCUUGCUGUCUUCAUUAGCAUGACUUAAUUAAUAGUUAUAAUCUUAUCAAGCAGAGGUUGCCAUGCAGGAGGGAUGUGCAGGCUGAAAAUCAAAGCUUUAAUAAAUAGAUAUUUUAAGACCA